UGUUCUGGAAUUUUGGCCAUUCUCAUAGGUGUGUAGUGGUAUCUCACUGUUGUUUUUAUUUGUAUUUCCCUGAAGACAUAAGAAGUGAAUCAUAUUUUUUAUGCUUACUUGAUACCUGUAUGUCCUUUUUGAUUAGGUAUCUGUUCAUAUUUUUUGCUCAUAUUUUAAUUGGGUUCUUUGUUUACCUAUUAUUGAAUUUUAAAAGUUCUUUGUAUAUUUUGGAUACUGAUCCUUUAUCAGAUAUGUGUUUUGCAAAUAUUUUCUCCUAGUGUGUGGCUUGUCUUUUCAUUCUCUUGAGUGUCUUUCACAGAGCAGAAGUUUUUAGUUUAAACAAAGUCCAACUUAACAAGCUUUUAUCUCACGGAUUAUACUUUGAAUGUUGUAUCUAGUAAGUCAUAAUUAUAUCCAAGGCCACCUAGGUUUUAUCCUAUGUUAUCUUCUAGAAGUUUUACAGUUUUGCAUUUUACAUUUAGACCUAUGGUCCAUUUGGAAUUAGUUUCUGUGAAAGGUAUGAUGUCUGUAUCUAGAUUCAUUUUUGUGCAUGUGGAUGUCCAAUUGUUCCAGCAUGAAAUCUGAAUUUUAUGUGAAGUCUCCUGAUUUUAAAGGUUCAUUCAAGUCUUUUUUUUGGUAGUAGUGGUACCGGAGGAAUUACAGCUCCCCUCUCCCCUAAUACACAUGUCUGCAGAAUGCAUUUAUCCAUUCUAGAUAAUCUCUGCCUCCUUCAUCCCUCUUACCUGGAAUGCUCUUCAUCCAUCCACCUAAGUUUUUCCUAACGCCCACCUCACACUCCAUCUACCAGACGUUUCCCACUACUUCAACCUGGUGUGUGCACUCAGCAGAUACUCAGGUAAUAGUGGUUGAAAUCUAAACACACUAUGACUUGUAAGUCCCUAUUAGCACUGCCAUAUGCCACUGCCUUUCUUCCUUAGCUAGACUGUGAACUCUUGGGGAAGACAGGAACCCUCUUUUUCUGGUUUACCCCAGGUUGCUUGGCAUGCAUGGGUCUGGGCAUAAAAUAGGUUCAGCCACAGUUGUUAACAAUUUCAGACUAGCUGGACUUUGGUCCUGACUUACCAAUUGUCCUUUGUUCUUCAGGAGAGAUGGCUACUUCAGGAGUCAAGCUGAGGACCUGCCAAAGAUUUAAACCCAGCAGCCUUGCCCUGGCACAGUUCUCUCCGCAGUUCUACAGACAACAGCUACCCCCUGCUACGCACAGAGAGACUCUCCCAUCACAGACCACCUUUCCUGUCUAUUGGACCAGAAUGGGAUCUUCACAUCAUUUUGUAUCUUUCUCAGAACUCCUUUCAGAAAACAUUACUUGACUGUCUACAGAUAACUUUGAUAUCUAGUUCCUUCCUCACUAAAAUAUUCAGUGGUUUCCGGAUGGUUUGUAUUUGUUGCUAUGAUGCUUUCUAAAUCCUGCAUUUCCCCAUCAUUCCCUUUCCUCUUGUCCACAAAGUUUUAAUUUCAGAGGCUGGUCCCAUUCCACUCCUAGCCCCAUUUCCAUCACACAUUGCCUAUGAUAUGAGGAGCCACUUGCUGUCUUAUAACUGAUCUAAGUCCCUGCCCAGCACAGAGCAUGAGAAACCAUCAAGCUCUUCAUUCUGAGAACAGAUGACAGCUUUAUGUUUAGGAAAAGGAAAACAAAACAAAACAAAACAAAAAACCACCUAGAGAAGACUAUACUAAUACCCAUAGAUUAAAGAGAGAGAGUCGCAGGCAGGGACCUGGACACACACCUGGUCUACUUACACUGAAGGAAAAACCCCUUCUGGAUAAUAAGACACACAUCUAUGAGCAUCAUCUAAUAUCCCAGACCAUGAGCCUGAAGUGCAGGUGCAAAGACAGAGGCCUGAGCCUGAGGAGCUUGUUCUCCGGGAAGAAAGAGGCAAAUGACAAUCCGAGGCCAAGAUUCACCUCUAAGAGCAAACAAUGGGCUCCAACUUCCGCACAGAAUAAGGACACUGCAGAGAGGUUGGGAAAAAAAUGUAUGCUGCCAACAACACCUGGAGUCUCUUGGAGGGAAAUACCUAAGUGAGCUACUCUGGAAGCCUCAGCCCCAUUAAGCAUUUCAACUGGGGAACUGGAAAGAGUAUGACAAAUGGAAUGCCAAAUAAACAUUAACUUGCAAGUGCAUCAAUGAAGAGAAAAAGGAGAAUGACUGUACUCAAAAGAGAUCAGGUGGACAGACUUAUCAAAAGAAAUGAGGUUCUGAAAACUAUCGCAGGGCAAGUGUGAAGGUAGAGGUGAGGUAUGUGGGAGUGCGCAUGUGCAGGUGCCUAUGGGUGCAUGUGUGCCCUCACAGCACAUCCCUCCAACCGGGCAUCUGCUCUGUGGCAAGAACCUGAAGAAAGGUAAGGUGGCAUCAAACCAGGAGAGGUGUCACUAUGAACUGAAAGGGCGCAGCAGGAAACUGACAUGAACGGCAAGUGUCCACAGCCCACUGACAAUAUCUGAACCCAAUUCUAGUUGAGUGGACAAAAGGAACUUGAGUUUGUGUACUUAAAUUAAGAGGAAGGAUGGAAGUCAGUCAAAAUUAAAAGCCAGUUUGUGGAUUCCAAACGGUGGUAGGCAUUCCACAAGUGGUACACAAAAUAAUUCUAAGGUGGGAUAUGGAUGACCACUUUCCAUCUUAAUGGUUACAUAUUUAUUUUAACAUAUAUUAGAGAAUAAUACAGUGAGAUCAUCGAAGUCAUGUUUUUAGAGAUCUUAUGUAUCAGGAUGAAGCCAGGGAAAGAAGUGAGUUGCUUUAAGGUUAACUUAAAGAAGUAUAUUAAAUAAGUCACAGUGAGCCACACGGGCUAUGUGGCUGUAGCACAAAUGGUGAAUGAGGGGUUAGGUACAUGACUGGCAUUUAAGCACUGAGCAAAGUGUGUCAGGAGGCCUCAAACUGAAAUCACUGUUAUAUGGAAAUACAUACCUUUUUUCACAAAUUAUUAUAUUUGCAUAAUCGUUACCUGUACUUUAAUGCCAAAGAGUAAAUUCAGCAAAGUGCUGGGAAAAAGUUUUCUGUCUUUGUCCAUAGACCAGACAAAGGGAAAGGUGAAUUGUGUGAAAACUUCACAGUGCAUUAUCAUCUGCUCACCCAACAGUGAUGGGUGGCUGGAUUACAACCUGGGAGGGGGCAGGUCCCAGCACAACCUUCUAGCUCCUAGCUCAGUCUUCCUCAGUCAACUCUCCCACUGGCCCCCCACAGGGUGCCCUUCAUGCCGGUUUGGAUAGUAUACUAGCUUCCCAGAAAAAAAGGGGUCUCUAAAACAAA